rnacentral:rRNA from 1 species
AAGCGGCAAAAGCUCAAAUUUGAAAUCUGGCACUUUCAGUGUCCGAGUUGUAAUUUGAAGAAGGUAUCUUUGGGUCUGGCUCUUGUCUAUGUUUCUUGGAACAGAACGUCACAGAGGGUGAGAAUCCCGUGCGAUGAGAUGUCCCAGACCUAUGUAAAGUUCCUUCGAAGAGUCGAGUUGUUUGGGAAUGCAGCUCUAAGUGGGUGGUAAAUUCCAUCUAAAGCUAAAUAUUGGCGAGAGACCGAUAGCGAACAAGUACAGUGAUGGAAAGAUGAAAAGAACUUUGAAAAGAGAGUGAAAAAGUACGUGAAAUUGUUGAAAGGGAAGGGCUUGAGAUCAGACUUGGUAUUUUGUAUGUUACUCUCUCGGGGGUGGCCUCUACAGUUUACCGGGCCAGCAUCAGUUUGAGCGGUAGGAUAAGUGCAAAGAAAUGUGGCACUGCUUCGGUAGUGUGUUAUAGUCUUUGUCGAUACUGCCAGCUUAGACUGAGGACUGCGGCUUCGGCCUAGGAUGUUGGCAUAAUGAUCUUAAGUCGCCCGUCUUGAAACACGGACCAAGGAGUCUAACGUCUAUGCGAGUGUUUGGGUGUAAAACCCGUACGCGUAAUGAAAGUGAACGUAGGUAGGACCUCCUUUAGGAGUGCACUAUCGACCGAUCCUGAUGUCUUCGGAUGGAUUUGAGUAAGAGCAUAGCUGUUGGGACCCGAAAGAUGGUGAACUAUGCCUGAAUAGGGUGAAGCCAGAGGAAACUCUGGUGGAGGCUCGUAGCGGUUCUGACGUGCAAAUCGAUCGUCGAAUUUGGGUAUAGGGC